GCCCCCAUCGUCUAGCGGCCUAGGAUACUGGGUUUUCAUCUCAGCGGCAGGGGUUCGAAUCCCCUUGGGGGUACCA
rnacentral:tRNA from 1 species